AUUAUGCUAGGCAUUAAAAUGAUUCAUCUAAUAAUUAGAAUUAGACUACAAAAUUAAAAUUAAAAUUACAUUUACAAAGACUUGUAUGAAUUAAAUAGAGGGUGUGUGUAGAGCAGAGGGAGCUAAAACCCAAAACUUACAUUAAAAUGAUUCAUCUAAUAAUUAGAAUUAGACUACAAAAUUAAAAUUAAAAUUACAUUUACAAAGACUUGUAUGAAUUAAAUAGAGGGUGUGUGUAGA
rnacentral:lncRNA from 1 species